rnacentral:rRNA from 1 species
ACUCCUACGGGAGGCAGCAGUGGGGAAUAUUGCGCAAUGGGGGAAACCCUGACGCAGCAACGCCGCGUGAAUGAAGAAGGCCUUAGGGUUGUAAAGUUCUGUUUUCUGGGACGAUAAUGACGGUACCAGAGGAGGAAGCCACGGCUAACUACGUGCCAGCAGCCGCGGAAAUACGUAGGUGGCAAGCGUUGUCCGGAUUUACUGGGCGUAAAGGAUGCGUAGGCGGAUGUUUAAGUGAGAUGUGAAAUACCCGAGCUCAACUUGGGUGCUGCAUUUCAAACUGGAUAUCUAGAGUGCAGGAGAGGAAAGCGGAAUUCCUAGUGUAGCGGUGAAAUGCGUAGAGAUUAGGAAGAACACCAGUGGCGAAGGCGGCUUUCUGGACUGUAACUGACGCUGAGGCAUGAAAGCGUGGGGAGCAAACAGGAUUAGAUACCCUGGUAGUC